UACGUAGGGGGCAAGCGUUGUCCGGAUUUAUUGGGCGUAAAGCGCGUGUAGGCGGCCAGGUAGGUCCGCUGUGAAAACUCGAGGCUUAACCUCGAGAGGUCGGCGGAAACCAUCUGGCUAGAGUCCGGAAGAGGAGAGUAGAAUUCCACGUGUAGCAGUGAAAUGCGUAGAGAUGUGGAGGAACACCGAUGGCGAAGGCAGCCCCCUGGGUCAAGAUUGACGCUCAUGCACGAAAGCGUGGGGAGCAAACAGG
rnacentral:rRNA from 1 species